rnacentral:rRNA from 1 species
UACGUAGGGAGCAAGCGUUGUCCGGAAUCAUUGGGCGUAAAGCGCGCGUAGGCGGCUCGAUCAGUCUGUUGUGAAAGUCAAAGGCUCAACCUUUGAAUGCCGAUGGAUACUGUCGAGCUAGAGUCCGGAAGAGGCGGGUGGAAUUCCUGGUGUAGCGGUGGAAUGCGCAGAUAUCAGGAGGAACACCGAUGGCGAAGGCAGGUCUCUGGGCAUUAACUGACGCUGAGGAGCGAAAGCAUGGGGAGCGAACAGG